GACAGAGGGUGCAAACGUUGCUCGGAAUCACUGGGCGUAAAGGGCGUGUAGGCGGGCAGGCAAGUCAGAUGUGAAAGCCCUGGGCUCAACCCAGGAACUGCAUUUGAAACUCCCAUUCUUGAGUGUCGGAGAGGAAAGCGGAAUUCCUGGUGUAGAGGUGAAAUUCGUAGAUAUCAGGAGGAACACCGGUGGCGAAGGCGGCUUUCUGGACGACAACUGACGCUGAGACGCGAAAGCGUGGGGAGCAAACAGG
rnacentral:rRNA from 1 species